CCGAGUGCGGGCUGCCUUCGGGCGCCCAACCUCCCACCCGUGUCUACUUAACACUGUUGCUUCGGCGGAGAGCCCCUCGGGGCGAGCCGCCGGGGACCACCGAACUUCAUGCCUGAGAGUAAUGCAGUCUGAGUCUGAAUGAAAAAUCAGUCA
rnacentral:misc_RNA from 1 species